CUUUUCUUAGGUUAGGGGUUGGAGGAAGGGUAGGGGACGCGAGCCUGCUUCCAUCUGACGCUGGACGCUUGUCCCUGCCCCGCGUUGCCUUUUAAAUUUUAGCUCAUUCCGAGACACCUGCCGUCAGUCAGCUGUCAUGCGAGGGCACUCAAGCAGCCCUGUGGAAAGCUCUACGUGGUGAGAAACUGAAGCCUCCUGCCAACACCAACAAGGAACUGAGACCUACUUCCAACAGCCAUCUGAGUGAUCGAUCCAUCCUGGAAUCAGAUCCUCCAGCCCCAGUCAAGUCUUCAGAUGACUGCAGCCCUGACCAGCAUCUCAACUGCAACCUCGUGAAUGACCCUGAGCCAGAACCAUGCAACUAAACUCUGCGUGGAUUCAUGACCCACAGAAACUGUGAGAUGGUAGCUGUUUGCUUUGUUAAGCCUCUAAGUCUGGAAAGAAUGUCUUAAGCAGUAGCAGACAAUGAACACAAGAUUAUUAUUCAGCUGUUGAAUUGGAAGAGGAGGGGAAGAAAAAAUUUUCAGAUCACAAAAUAUUCAUUGUGUAAAACUUCAAAAAUUCUGAAAUUUAAGGAAAAAAUAUCAUUUGUUGGGAAUUUGUUGGGAUUCAUUGUCUCAGUGCCAAGAGACACCCACUCUUUUUUUUUUUUUGAGACAGAGUCCUGCUCUGUUGCCCAGGCUGAAGGGCAGUGGCACGAUCUCAGCUCACCACAACCUCUGCCUCCCGGGUUCAAGUGAUUCUCCUCCCUAAGCCUCCCAAGUGGCUGGGACUACAGGCAUGCAUCACCAUGCCCGGCUAAUUUUUGUAUUUUUAGUAGAGACGGGGUUUCACUAUGUUGGCCGGCUGAUCUCAAACUCUUGACCCCGUGAUCCGCCCGCAUCAGCCUCCCAAAGUGCCGGGAUUACAGGCAUGAGCCACUGCGCCCGGCCGAGACACUCACUCUUAACAUUUUGGUAUAUUUUUUCUCUCUGCACAUUUUUUAUCCAGCUGACUUUAUUUUGUCUCCUGAAAUCUUCAUUUUUAAAUUAUAGCUUCAGCAUUUAAGAAAAUGUGUCUAACAAAGUCUUCGCAAGCAUACAUUUUUCCCAUAGUUAGUAUACUUAGAAUUUAUUUGUCAAGCAAUUUUGAAGGGCUUUCACUAUGAAAAACUUUAGGGCUUAUUGAUAUUCUCUUUAAGUAGAAGUAUGUUUUUUAUUAUUACAAAAGUUAUAUAUGUAUAUAUAUGGUGUUUGUGUUUGUGUGUGUGUGUGUGUGUGUGUGUGUGUGUGUGUGGAGUC
rnacentral:lncRNA from 10 species